GUCCAGACUCCUACGGGAGGCAGCAGUGGGGAAUAUUGCACAAUGGGGGAAACCCUGAUGCAGCGACGCCGCGUGAAGGAAGAAGUAUUUCGGUAUGUAAACUUCUAUCAGCAGGGAAGAAAAUGACGGUACCUGACUAAGAAGCCCCGGCUAACUACGUGCCAGCAGCCGCGGUAAUACGUAGGGGGCAAGCGUUAUCCGGAUUUACUGGGUGUAAAGGGAGCGUAGACGGCAUGGCAAGUCAGAUGUGAAAGCCCGGGGCUCAACCCCGGGACUGCAUUUGAAACUGUCAGGCUGGAGUGCGGGAGAGGUAAGUGGAAUUCCUAGUGUAGCGGUGAAAUGCGUAGAUAUUAGGAGGAACACCAGUGGCGAAGGCGGCUUACUGGACUGUAACUGACGUUGAGGCUCGAAAGCGUGGGGAGCAAACAGGAUUAGAUACCCGAGUA
rnacentral:rRNA from 1 species